AUGAACGCUGGCGGCGUGUCUAAUACAUGCAAGUUGAGCGAACGGACGAGAAGCUUGUUUCUCUGAUGUUAGCGGCGGACGGGUGAGUAACACGUGGAUAACCUACCUAUAAGAUUGGGAUAACUUCGGGAAACCGGAGAUAAUACCGGAUGAUAUUUUGAACCGCAUGGUUCAAAAGUGAAAGACGGUCUUGCUGUCACUUAUAGAUGGAUCCGCGCUGCAUUAGCUAGUUGGUAAGGUAACGGCUUACCAAGGCAACGAUGCAUAGCCGACCUGAGAGGGUGAUCGGCCACACUGGAACUGAGACACGGUCCAGACUCCUACGGGAGGCAGCAGUAGGGAAUCUUCCGCAAUGGGCGAAAGCCUGACGGAGCAACGCCGCGUGAGUGAUGAAGGUCUUCGGGUCGUAAAACUCUGUUAUUAGGGAAGAACAUAUGUGGAAGUAACUGUGCACAUCUUGACGGUACCUAAUCAGAAAGCCACGGCUAACUACGUG
rnacentral:rRNA from 1 species